rnacentral:rRNA from 1 species
CCUACGGGUGGCUGCAGUGGGGAAUAUUGGACAAUGGGGGCAACCCUGAUCCAGCCAUGCCGCGUGUGUGAAGAAGGCCCUCGGGUUGUAAAGCACUUUCAGUGAGGAAGAACGCCUGGUGGUUAAUACCCAUCAGGAAAGACAUCACUCACAGAAGAAGCACCGGCUAACUCCGUGCCAGCAGCCGCGGUAAUACGGAGGGGUGCGAGCGUUAAUCGGAAUUACUGGGCGUAAAGCGCGCGUAGGUGGCUUGAUAAGCCGGUUGUGAAAGCCCCGGGCUCAACCUGGGAACGGCAUCCGGAACUGUCAAGCUAGAGUGCAGGAGAGGAAGGUAGAAUUCCCGGUGUAGCGGUGAAAUGCGUAGAGAUCGGGAGGAAUACCAGUGGCGAAGGCGGCCUUCUGGACUGACACUGACACUGAGGUGCGAAAGCGUGGGUAGCAAACAGGAUUAGAUACCCUAGUAGUC